UACGUAGGCAGCGAGCGUUGUUCGGAGUUACUGGGCGUAAAGGGGGCGUAGGGUGCCUGGUAAGUUCGGUAUGAAAGCUCGGAGCUUAACUCCGAAAUGUCAUUGAAUACUAUCUGGCUGGAGGGUCGGAGGGGAGACUGGAAUUCUCGGUGUAGCAGUGAAAUGCGUAGAUAUCGAGAGGAACACCAGUGGCGAAGGCGAGUCUCUGGGCCGAUACUGACGCUGAGGAGCGAAAGCGUGGGGAGCGAACAGG
rnacentral:rRNA from 1 species